rnacentral:rRNA from 1 species
AUGGCUCGGCCAGCCGCGGCGUUAGCGACAGUGCUCGCACCGCUCCUCCUGCCGUCAGUGGCCGAGGCGGCAGUCGGUGGCCGGACGCCGGCACACAUUCCUCAGCUUGGGCAGGAGCUGUGGAGAAAGCCAGCAAAGUCCGCUCCGAAGGCCGUGAUCAAUCGUCCCUUCCGUGCGCCGGACAAGGACCGGCUGGGGAGCGCGGCCACCGACAACGCCGGGCUCGUCGUCUACAAGAUCUCCGUCGGCGUCGCGGAGGAGGUCUUCUCCGGCGUCGUCGACGUCGCCACCGAUUUCAUCUGGGCGCAGUGCCCGGUGUCGUCGGAUUUCACUGAAGUCUUCUGCUUCAGCCAGACUUGCCAGCUGGCGCUCGACGAGGAGGACGCCUGCGGAAACAGCACCAGCUUCACCUGCCCGUACGCGUACCAGUACGGACCGGGGAUCAGCACCACCGGCUACAUCUCCGCCGAGGAGGUCACCGCCGUCGGGACGCACAUCACCGGCCGGGCGUUGUUCGGCUGCAGCCUCGCCAGCACGGUGCCACUCGACGGCGAGUCCGGCGUUCUUGGGUUCAGCAGGGGGCCCUACUCCCUCCUGUCGCAGCUCAAGAUCUCAAGGUUCUCCUACUUCAUGCUGCCCGACGACGCCGACAAGCCUGACUCCGAGAGCGUCCUCCUCCUCGGCGACGACGCGGUGCCCCAGACCAACAGCAGCCGCUCCACGCCGCUGCUCCGGAACGAAGCGUACCCCGACCUGUACUAUGUCAAACUCACCGGCAUCAAGGUCGACGACAAGUCCCUGAGUGGCAUCCCGGCGGGGACGUUCGACCUGGCCGCCAACGGCUGCUCCGGUGGGGUGGUCAUGAGCACGCUCUCCCCCAUCACCUACCUCCAGCCGGCCGCCUACAACGCCUUGACGCGGGCGCUGGCGAGCAAGAUCAAGUCACAGCCAGUCCGCCCAAAAGCCGACGACGUGGCCGAUCUGCGGCUGUGCUACAACAUCCAGUCGGUCGCCAACCUGACGUUCCCCAAGAUCACGCUGGUGUUUCACGGCGUUGACGGCAGGCCGGCGCCCAUGGAGCUCACUACGGCGCACUACUUCAUCAGGGAAAACUCCACCGGGCUGCAGUGCCUCACCAUGCUGCCCACGCCGGCGGGCUCGCCGGUCAGCUCCGUCCUGGGAAGCCUGCUGCAGACGGGCACCCACAUGAUCUACGACCUCCGCGGCGGCUCGCUGACUUUCGAGAAGGGCGGGUCGCCGGCGGCUUCCGAGACUAUAUGA